GGUCUUGUAGUUUACUUGUUUAGAACGUUAAGUUGCAAACUUAAAUGAAGCUGUGUGCUCUAGACUU
rnacentral:tRNA from 1 species